rnacentral:rRNA from 1 species
GGCAGUGUCUGAGGCUCGCUGCAAUCGCGUGUCGCCCUUCAGAGUUUGAUCCUGGCUCAGAGUGAACGCUGGCGGCAGGCCUAACACAUGCAAGUCGAACGGCAGCACAGGGGAGCUUGCUCCCUGGGUGGCGAGUGGCGGACGGGUGAGGAAUACGUCGGAAUCUGCCCAGUCGUGGGGGAUAACUUAGGGAAACUUAAGCUAAUACCGCAUACGACCUUCGGGUGAAAGCGGAGGACCUUCGGGCUUCGCGCGAUUGGAUGAGCCGACGUCGGAUUAGCUAGUUGGUGGGGUAAAGGCCUACCAAGGCGACGAUCCGUAGCUGGUCUGAGAGGAUGAUCAGCCACACUGGAACUGAGACACGGUCCAAACUCCUACGGGAGGCAGCAGUGGGGAAUAUUGGACAAUGGGCGCAAGCCUGAUCCAGCCAUGCCGCGUGAGUGAAGAAGGCCCUCGGGUUGUAAAGCUCUUUUGUCCGGAAAGAAAAGCUUUCGGUUAAUACCCGAAAGUCAUGACGGUACCGGAAGAAUAAGCACCGGCUAACUUCGUGCCAGCAGCCGCGGUAAUACGAAGGGUGCAAGCGUUACUCGGAAUUACUGGGCGUAAAGCGUGCGUAGGUGGUUCGUUAAGUCUGAUGUGAAAGCCCUGGGCUCAACCUGAGAAUUGCAUUGGAUACUGGCGGGCUAGAGUACGGUAGAGGGUGGCGGAAUUCCCGGUGUAGCAGUGAAAUGCGUAGAGAUCGGGAGGAACAUCUGUGGCGAAGGCGGCCACCUGGACCAGUACUGACACUGAGGCACGAAAGCGUGGGGAGCAGACGGGAUUAGAUACCCUGUUAAUCCCCGCCCUAGACGAU